GUCUAUUUUCCAGGUGAGAGGCAGGAUUUAUGAUCUACAAUAAACUUACAGGGAGCAGGGAAGCGAGGAAACAGCAGACCACUCGAUGAUGUGAACAAAGGGACACAAGGAAGUGAUCACAGCGCCACUAUAAAUAGUGUGUCUGCUUUAGCAAUCAUUAUAACAAUAUCACUAAUACUUCAAGCCACAAAUAGUACUUUGAGUAUUGUUGAUAGGAUGACACGUUUUAAAUGGUUAUUUAUCCAAUUUUAUGGGUGGCAUAAUGGAGCUCCUACUGGCUCCGCUGUAAGCUGACUUUUAUUUACAUAUAUUUUAUAUUUGGACUCCAUUAAAAAAAAAACAUCUGUGGUCAAAUCUUUCAUAAUGAUUGUGCACAAAAAAAUAAAUAAAUAGAGCAGUUUCCCUUUAAGACACAAUCACACAUAAUAUCUAAUAAUGUCAAACAUGUUGAUUAACGGUCCAGUAGAAUUAGAUGUUGUCUUUGUGUUGGAGUGUAACCUUGACUCACACCCAUCAUUUUAAAUAGAGCUUAUGCUGCUUUUUCACUCUUUUGUGGUGGUGACAUUUUGCUACCUGGAAGGGAAUGACAAAACAUUUUAGUUAGUGUUGACGUAACUUAAUCCUUUUAAACUUUUUCCACAAAAAAACGAGUGGAGUUUGCAAAAUUGAAUUGCACGUUUGUAACAGGACAAUAAAAUUAUUAUAAUUAGUAACACUUCGACAAAGUCAGCAAUUAAAUUGUGUACGAGUGACCAUGCCAGGAUUAAGAUGACUAAACUCAAAAGACAUGGUUUGUAAAUAUGAAAAUAGAAAAACGGCAGGACAUUAUGAACAUGCAAUAUUCAUGGGAAUGUUCCAUACCGUCUGCUUAGUGUCGGCCUCACAGCCUGCUCUCCUUUGUUUCUCUCCCCCUGCUGUGAGGUAAGGGGCCUGUCAGUCACAUGAUGAUAUGUUGUGCUUUCAAAACCAUGUUCCGCGGUUAAUUUUUGGGUGGGACAAAUGCAUCUUUUUCCAAAAAUGAAAUAUUGAAGGGGCACUUCCCCCCUGUGAUGUGCCUCCGUCUUUGGGAUUAGACCCCGCCUCCUCAGCCACCUAGUCAACGUGCACAAAGGGUAUGAGUGCAAACAUGAAGCGUGCAUUGGUGUGUGUGGUGAUGGCUGCCUGGAGCCUUGGAUGUGGCAGCCAGACGGUGCACCAGCGAGCAGAGAAUGUGUACGCCAUGAAAGACGACUCAGUGACGCUGGACUGCAGCUAUGAAAACUCUGGAGCAAACGACUACAUUUUGUGGUACAAACAGGACGGGCAGGCGGCACCAAAGGUCAUCCUGAGCCUCUCCAUGAGGGGUCAGGGCAAGACUGAGAGCAGCUUUGAAAAGAGGUUCAGCUGCAGCAUCAAUGAGACCGCCAAGCGAGCUCCUCUGAAGAUCCAAGACGUGCAGCUGAGCGACUCUGCUGUCUUCUACUGCGCCAUGCAGCCCACAAUGACUGACAUCUCUGCUGCACCCACACAAAAACCUCUGUGGGCUCCUCAUCCCACUGUGGCUGUUUGAGAGCUGGUUCUGAGGAGAUUUUCACAGCUUUUGUCAUUGUCAGGACAUGACAGGCGUGGCAAACUGCAGAUGUUUUGUACUUACAUACCUUAAUUGUUUCCAAACCAUGUUUGUAGCACGGCAGUAAAGGGCUGCUCAAACACAACAGAAGUCAUCAUAAUAGACCCACAAGCUGCGGAAGCUAGUUCUCCAUCACCUAAACAGACUCAAUCAGUCCACGAAGACGUUUUAGUAAAUUUUUUGAGGAAUUUGGGAAACUGAAACUGCCCCUGAAAUAGAAACGCUCUGCGUGCCGAUGAUCUGUAUGUAAAAGUAAAUCACCUUCACAGGUCUGUCUCUGCUAUGCCUAUCUUCAGGUACAUCUUCCUUAAACCUAUUAUUUGCAUCUUUCUGUGGCCAAUUGUUUAGUUUUAAAUGACGUCACGUCCGGCUCACAUACCACUCAUCAAAUAUGCGUGGUGGUCAAGCCAGUGUCUGUUCUCAACGGGUAAUAGGCGGCAUUUAGCCUUUCUCGAAGAAAAAUGCCCUAUGCUUGCCAUUGUGAACUGAAACCAAAAUGACCUUUGUGUGGAAAAAAGCCACCCCCACAUUUUUUCAUAUAUUGGCCCGCACUAGUCUAUGAGCCGCAAAAAUAUACGUUAUGAAUUGACUUAUUUACACAAAAAUAUUUUGUAAAUGUUUAUUCACAUACCUUAAUUGUUUCCAAGCUGUAAACGGCUGAUCAAACACAACAGAAGUCAUCGUCAAGGACCCACUAGCUGCGGUAGCUAGCUCUCCAUCAGCUACAAAGACUCAAUCAGUCAAUGGUGAGGGUUUAGUGAAUUUAUUGAGUAAUUUGUGAAACUGAAACAAUGCAAAUAGGAUGCUAUUGUAAGUUAACACUAACCAAAACACCUUUAAAUGUGUAGGCAUACUAGCUAAAGCUAACAACGCUAGCUUCAUUACAUUUCGUAUGAAUAAGCGUGAAAAGACUUCUACAGACAUCACACAUGGGGUGGUUCAAAAAGUAAGAAUUUCAGUUAAACUAUGAAACUUACAAAUGUUACUUGAAGUGCUAACUGAAGAAUAAUUUCAAGCAAAAAUGCAAUAGACACUAAUUCCUGGUUUACAGCAUCAAAUCAGGAAGUACAGGUUAAGCCUGCAAUACCUGCUGUGGACAAACUUGUCCAAAAGAUGGCGCCAUGGCACAACUAGAAUUUCAGCCAUCUAAUUUCCAGGUGAGAGGCAUGAUUUAUGAUCUACAAUAAACAUGCAGGGAGCAGGGAAGAGAGGAAACAGCAGAUCACUUGAUGAUGUAAACAUAGGGACAGAAGGAAAUGAUCACAGCGCAGCUAUAAAUAGUUUGUCUGCAUUAGUGCUCAUAAUAACAAUAUCACAAUCAAUAUCACUACCACUAUCUUGUGGACGGGGGGCACAAGUCCGGUGGCCAUGGAUGAAGUGCUGGCUUUCCAGAGUCGGGACCCGGGGGUGGACCGCUCGCCUGUGCAUCGGUUGGGAACAUCUCUGCGCUGCUGACCUGUCUCCGCUCGGGAUGGU